UUUUUUUUUUUUUUUAAAUGGGAAAGUUACAUUUUGUUUUGUUUUCCUAGGAGGUGCAGAUUUAAAUUAACUCUUCACCUGGAGAAGGGGCACAGCCUCAUUUAUCCUAAGUUGGAUUUCACUCAUUGCUUAGUAGAAAAUGAUCUUGAACAACUACUACUAUUACCACCAUCACCACCACUACUACUGAUACUACUACUUCCUCUCCUCUUCUUUCCCCUCUUCCUCCCUCUUCUUCAUCCUUCUUCCUCCUUUCCUCUCUGUCUUCCUUGCUUUCUGUUUACAGUUCUGUUCAUUGAAAUAAUAACUAAGGUGUUAGAUAUAGUUAUAGGAAUGUUAUAAAAAUGUAUGCUUUAGCAUGAUACUUGAUUAUAAUCACCAGCUUUUAUACUUUUCAUGAGAAAGCUGAGAUUCAGAGAAGGUACAUAAUUUACCCCAUAUCAUACCAGUGAGAGAAAAACGUAAGAUUCAAAUCAGAUUUUCUCAAUGUCUAUUCUUAGAGAUGCCAUGUGAUUUACUGUUGACUCAAGGCCUGGAGGUAUUAGAUAGACUUUUAGAUCAAGGUCCUAGCAUGCCUAAAGCCCUUGGUUCAAUUUUCUGCACUGAAUAAACUAGAAAUUCAAGGUCAUCCUCAAAUACACUGUGCAUUUGAGACCAGCAAAAGCUAUAUGGGACUCAUCCUCCAAAAAAAAAAAGAGGAUGUCCCUGGGAGAAAUAGAGGAGGAGUACAUCUUGGGGAGAGGGGAGAGUGAGGGGCGGAGCUUCGAGGAGAGGGAGGGAACGAUGUAGUCAGGAUGUAUUCUAAGAAGAAGAAUUUUAAAAAAAGAUGAAAAAAUGAUGAGCUGUAGUGCACUGGAUAAACACUUGCUCAGCUUGUGUACCACCCAGAGUUCAUCCUCAGGACUGAGCAGGUAAAUACGCACAGGCCAGGGCCUGCAUUCCUCUCUGAGGGACCUUGGAGCUGUUUUCAUAGGCUUCUUUAUCUAGGUUAAACUUGAGGGUAACUGCUGUGAAGUGUGCUCAGCAAAUCAGACAUGUUAGACUAGAAUAUUUUGUGUCCAUAUUCUUAGGAGCCAAUGAUGUGAUCCAGCUCAUUAUUUUGUUCCCAUACUUUGUAAGUUUGAAUUGAACCAAAACAGUCUCUGCAUACUCUUGUGGAUCCUACACAUAUACUUGAGUCAUAUUUUCAAGACAAUCUCAGCAUCACCUGGCAGCACCUUUAAUGGGCACCAGGGACCUGAGUGCAGACAUCAAAGCUUUCCCAGUGGUCACUGUCAGAGGGACCUUGGACUUCUUCUCCUUCUUCUAUCUUCCAUGUGGUGGAAGUAAAGAUCUGCCAUACCAUACUCACUUUUAUUCUGUGCUGUGAAAGCAAACCUAGGGCUCCCUGAAUGUGUUUAUUUCUCCCCUUCCUUUCUCUUCUCCUUCUUCAUUUUAUUUAUUAUUUAUUAAAAAUAAUUGUGUGCAAUAUGUUCUGAUCAUUAAGUUAAGGGUUUUAAUCCAUCCUUCAUCUCCCAAACCCUCUGCACCUCUCCACUGUUCAAAUUCCAUGCCUUUUCUCACUCUCUCUCAAACAGGU
rnacentral:lncRNA from 1 species